UGUGUGUGUGUAUAAUGUGUGUGUGUGUGUGUGUGUGUGUAUGUAUGUAUAUAUAUAUACACACACACACACACACACACACACACAGUAUAUAUU